rnacentral:rRNA from 1 species
UACGGGGGGGGGCAAAUGUUGUUCGGAAUCACUGGGCGUAAAGGGAGCGUAGGCGGGUUCUUAAGUUAGGUGUUUAAUCCCGGGGCCCAACCCCGGACCGGCACUUAAAACUGGGAAUCUUGAAUAGUGGAGAGGUCGGUGGAAUUGGAGGUGUAGCGGUGGAAUGCGUAGAGAUCUCCAAGAACACCAGUUGCGAAGGCGGCCGACUGGACACAUAUUGACGCUGAGGCUCGAAAGCAUGGGGGAGCAAACAGG